AGAGUUUGAUCCUGGCUCAGGAUGAACGCUGGCGGCGUGCCUAACACAUGCAAGUCGAGCGAAGGAUAUAUAAAGAAAUCUUCGGAUGGAUUUAUAUAAACUUAGCGGCGGAUGGGUGAGUAACGCGUGAGAAAUCUACCAUGCACUAGGGGAUAGCCUCGGGAAACUGGGAAUAAUACCCUAUGACACUUACAUUUCGCAUGAAGAGUAAGUUAAAGCUUUAGCGGUGCUUGAUGAUCUCGCGUCCCAUUAGUUAGUUGGUAAGGUAAUGGCUUACCAAGACUACGAUGGGUAGCCGGCCUGAGAGGGUGACCGGCCACACUGGAACUGAGACACGGUCCAGACUCCUACGGGAGGCAGCAGUGGGGAAUAUUGCACAAUGGAGGAAACUCUGAUGCAGCGACGUCGCGUGAACGAUGAAGGUCUUCGGAUCGUAAAGUUCUGUCCUAGGGGAAGAUAGUGACGGUACCUUAGGAGGAAGCCCCGGCUAACUACGUG
rnacentral:rRNA from 1 species